GCCCGGGUGGUGAAACUGGUAGACACAGGGGACUUAAAAUCCCCAGGCGCAAGCCGUGGCGGUUCGAGUCCGCCCCCGGGCACCA
rnacentral:tRNA from 1 species